GUGCACUGCUGGGCUAAAACUCUGAGUUUCUUAGAAGUUGCAUGAAGCCUUAGUGAUCAAUUUCUGGCCAGUGGAAUAUAGGCAGAAGAGAGACGCUAUGUUCAGGAAGUCCUGCUCAUGCCUGUAAAUUCCUGGAGAUCCCGCCUAUAAAUUCCCAGAGAUCCCGUGAAACCCGGCUUUCUUCUGGUGUAGAGGGAGUUCAGAGGACUCGGGUACAGGUUGCUGUUACUUCCUCCAAGGGUGCAACACCCUGUGUGGCCCCGUCCGCUGGUCUUCUCAUCUUUACAGCUAUAAGUAAUAAAAUUCUACUUUUCAUUUAUCCAGAGUGCCACUGUGUGCCUUCCAUAAUUAAAAUAAUAUUUAAAUCUUAUAAAACAAUGGUCUCAGUGAGCAGGAUGCAGUAGCCAUGAUUGUUGUCUCUUGGGUAGCUUCUUGGGAGUUCUACUCUUGGCUUCCUAAUUGGCUCCAGACCACCGUGGCUUACUGGGGACUUAUGGUUUAGAAUUUUUCUGUUUCUGAUGGCCACAUAUCUCCUUACCCAUAUUUUUUCAGUUGUGAAAUCUUCAAGCCAAACAGUGCUAAUUGGUUAAAUAAAUACUAGCCCAGGUGGGAGCCCAUUUAGGGCACUCAGUGAUAAGCUAUUUAAGCCACUCUUUCUAAAAGUAGGGCAUUCAGGUGUGUUUACAGUCUAGCAAGUGUUGGGUAAAGGCAUAUUCCAGAAGCUGUCACAGUUUUGAUGUAGUCUUUUUUUAUUAUCUUUUGGAGCCAGAACUCUGGUUUUUCCAUUGGUUUCUGACAACCAAAGGAAGAAGAUGUUUAGAUUCUGCGCAGGAGAGAAAUGGCACCUGAUCUCAUUGUCCAAGUUUCUCAGGUUGGGAGAGGUGCCUAACCAUACUGCAUUACAGUAGAGAGUUAUAAGAAGUAUAGAAGAAGAUGUAUGUGGCAGA